rnacentral:tRNA from 1 species
UAGCUUGUCAUUAGCUGGGUAUCCACCUUGACAUGGUGGGGGUCGUUGGUUCGAGUCCAAUUGUGCCUACCA